rnacentral:rRNA from 1 species
AUUGAACGCUGGCGGCAGGCCUAACACAUGCAAGUCGAGCGGAUGAGGGAAGCUUGCUUCCCGAUUUAGCGGCGGACGGGUGAGUAAUGCCUAGGAAUCUGCCUAUUAGUGGGGGAUAACGUAGGGAAACUUACGCUAAUACCGCAUACGACCUACGGGUGAAAGCAGGGGAUCUUCGGACCUUGCGCGAUUGAAUGAGCCGAUGUCGGAUUAGCUAGUUGGCGGGGUAAAGGCCCACCAAGGCGACGAUCCGUAGCUGGUCUGAGAGGAUGAUCAGCCACACUGGAACUGAGACACGGUCCAGACUCCUACGGGAGGCAGCAGUGGGGAAUAUUGGACAAUGGGCGAAAGCCUGAUCCAGCCAUGCCGCGUGUGUGAAGAAGGUCUUCGGAUUGUAAAGCACUUUAAGUUGGGAGGAAGGGUAUUCACCUAAUACGUGGGUACUUUGACGUUACCAACAGAAUAAGCACCGGCUAACUCUGUGCCAGCAGCCGCAGUAAUAC